CCUACGUGGGGCAGCAGUGGGGAAUAUUGGACAAUGGGCGAAAGCCUGAUCCAGCCAUGCCGCGUGUGUGAAGAAGGCCUUCGGGUUGUAAAGCACUUUCAGUGGGGAAGAAAGCCUUGGGGCUAAUACCCUCGAGGAAGGACAUCACCCACAGAAGAGGCACCGGCUAACUCCGUGCCAGCAGCCGCGGUAAUACGGAGGGUGCGAGCGUUAAUCGGAAUUACUGGGCGUAAAGCGCGCGUAGGCGGUCUGAUAAGCCGGUUGUGAAAGCCCCGGGCUCAACCUGGGAACGGCAUCCGGAACUGUCAGGCUAGAGUGCAGGAGAGGAAGGUAGAAUUCCCGGUGUAGCGGUGAAAUGCGUAGAGAUCGGGAGGAAUACCAGUGGCGAAGGCGGCCUUCUGGACUGACACUGACGCUGAGGUGCGAAAGCGUGGGUAGCAAACAGGAUUAGAUACCCGGGUAGUC
rnacentral:rRNA from 1 species